GAUGAACGCUGGCGGCGUGCCUAAUACAUGCAAGUCGAGCGAACAGACGAGUAUCUUGCUCCUCUGACGUUAGCGUCGGACGUGUUAGUAACACGUGGAUAACCUACCUAUAAGACUGGGAUAACUUCGGGAAACCGGAUCUAAUACCGGUGAAUAUAUUGAACCGCAUGGUUCAAUAGUGAAAGACGGUGUUGCUGUCACUUAUAGAUUGAUCCGCGCCGCAUUAGAUAGUUCGUAAUGUAACGGCUUACCAAGGCAACGAUGCGGAGCCGCCCUGAGAGGGUCGUCGGACACCCUGCAACUGAGAGACGGUCCAGACUCCGACGGGAGGCAGCAGUAGGGAAUCUUCCGCAAUGCGCGAAAGCCUGAUGGAGCACCGUCGCGGGAGUGAUGAUGGUCUUCGGAUCGUAAAACUAUGUAAUUAGGGAAGAAGAAAUGUGUAAGUAACAAUGCACGUAUUGACGGUACCUAAUCAGAAAGCCACGGCUAACUACGUG
rnacentral:rRNA from 1 species